rnacentral:rRNA from 1 species
GUAGGUGGCAAGCGUUGUCCGGAAUUAUUGGGCGUAAAGCGCGCGCAGGUGGUUCUUUAAGUCUGAUGUGAAAGCCCCCGGCUCAACCGGGGAGGGUCAUUGGAAACUGGGGAACUUGAGUGCAGGAGAGGAAAGUGGAAUUCCACGUGUAGCGGUGAAAUGCGUAGAUAUGUGGAGGAACACCAGUGGCGAAGGCGACUUUCUGGCCUGUAGCUGACACUGAGGCGCGAAAGCGUGGGGAGCAAACAGGGAUUAGAUACCCUGGUAGUCCACGCCGUAAACGAUGAGUGCUAAGUGUUGGGGGGGGUUUCCGCCCCCUCAGUGCUGCAGCUAACGCAUUAAGCACUCCGCCUGGGAGUACGGUCGCAAGACUG